rnacentral:lncRNA from 1 species
CUCAAUACCCAUCACCCACCCUCCCCUCCCUCCCACCCCCCAUCAACCCUCAGUUUGUUCUCAGGUUUUAAGAGUCUCUUAUGCUUUGGCUCUCUUCCACUCUAACCUCUUUUUUUUUCCUUCCCCUCCCCCAUGGGUUUCUGUUAAGUUUCUCAGGGUCCACAUAAGAGUGAACACAUAUGGUAUCUGUCUUUCUCUGUAUGGCUUAUUUCACUUAGCAUAACACUCUCCCGUUCCAUCCAUGUUGCGACAAAGGGCCAUAUUUCAUUCUUUCUCAUUGCCCUGUAGUACUCCAUUGUGUAUAUAAACCACAAUUUCUUUAUCCAUUCAUCAGUUGAUGGACAUUUAGGCUCUUUCCAUAAUUUGGCUAUUGUUGAGAGUGCUGCUAUAAACAUUGGGGUACAAGUACCCCUAUGCAUCAGUACUCCUGUAUCCCUUGGGUAAAUUCCUAGCAGUGCUAUUGCUGGGUCAUAGGGUAGGUCUAUUUUUAAUUUUUUGAGGAACCUCCACACUGUUUUCCAGAGUGGCUGCGCCAAUUUGCAUUCCCACCAACAGUGCAAGAGGGUUCCCCGUUUCUCCACAUCCUCUCCAGCAUCUGUACUCUCCUGAUUUGUUCAUUUUGGCCACUCUGAAGAAGCUCAUUUCAAUACAAUGGUUAAUUAUUCAUUUCACCAAACUAGAAUUGGGAUCCUGCAGCUUGCUAAUAAGCAGCAGCUUCUCCCGGCACAAGUCACUGUCCUCAUCAGACAAGCUGAGACCAUGCUUUGUGCCCUGCACCUAUAGUAAGAGAAAAGGUACACGGCGAGCUUUGGCCCAACAGAGUUAAGAGGAAGACUUGGGAGGGAUGGAACCUUCCAACAAGUUUGGAAGAAAGUAGAGGGAAUGCACAGAUGCCAGAUUGCCACGAAGACCCAUGGACAAUCCCGCACUCACGCUUCUCUAUCGAACUUUAAGAUUUAUUAGUAAUAUGCUGCCUUUGCAAGAUGAAAAGAAACUAAUGCCAAGAAGGCAUAUUCUUCAAUAUUUGGA